GACGAACGCUGGCGGCGUGCUUAACACAUGCAAGUCGAACGGAAAGGCCCUGCUUGCAGGGUACUCGAGUGGCGAACGGGUGAGUAACACGUGGGUGAUCUGCCCUGCACUUCGGGAUAAGCUUGGGAAACUGGGUCUAAUACCGGAUAGGAGCCAUCUUUAGUGUGGUGGUUGGAAAGUUUUUUCGGCGUAGGAUGAGCUCGCGGCCUAUCAGCUUGUUGGUGGGGUAAUGGCCUACCAAGGCGGCGACGGGUAGCCGGCCUGAGAGGGUGUACGGCCACAUUGGGACUGAGAUACGGCCCAGACUCCUACGGGAGGCAGCAGUGGGGAAUAUUGCACAAUGGGCGCAAGCCUGAUGCAGCGACGCCGCGUGGGGGAUGAAGGCCUUCGGGUUGUAAACUCCUUUCGCUAGGGACGAAGCUUUUUUGUGACGGUACCUAGAUAAGAAGCACCGGCUAACUACGUG
rnacentral:rRNA from 1 species